CCCCCCCGGCGUAAUUUAACUGAGAAAAUUAAGGUUGUUUUGAUUCAGAUGUAAACAUAAGAUAAGUUUUUAAUACUAGGUGUUCUAUCACGAAUUUGAUACACUUGAUAUUACAAUAGUAGAUUGCUAAUUUGCAAUAAAAGGCAAGCUUUCGACUCUUGAGACCUAUAAUGUUUUGUAACUACUAUUGCCUUGUUUAUGUAUAAUGUAUGUGUAGGGUUCAGGGUUGCUUUUGAUGGUGUUUUUAUGCUCAUUGUAACUAGUGCCGCUGUAAGGUUUCUAUGUGUAAUUUCAAUUUCAGCUUUUCUUCCUUUUAAUUUUGCGGUAUUAGUUUACUGUACUGUUUUUGAAACUCUCUCUUUCAUAGUUAACAAUCACACACUAGAGUUCCAUAUCUAGGAUCUUUUUCACAAAUCACAAUCAGAAACAAGACUUGUUCAAUUUCCGUAGAUUUUUUCUUCAGUUUCGUUUUCAUUAGAGGAUUUGAAUUCGUUAGGGCAUUGCACUGUAUGUAGAUUAUUUCACUAGACUUGUUGUAUGUAACCUUUUAAUCAAUCAUGAUAAGUUCAAUACACCAUCUAAGAUUCAUUAAAUAAUGAUGUAUUGUAUAAAUAGAAGGCAUUGUAUUGAAUUGUCCUGUCUUGUAUUAAAUGGCUUAAAAUUUAGCACAAUGUACUAUGUUUUUUUUUCUUUUUUCAAAAGAAAAACAACGUUUAGAGAAAUAGAUGAAAUGAAAUGCCGUUUAUAGUGUUUCCUUUGGGCAGGAUAGGAAUAAAAUGUUUGGUGAGGAUAUUUUUGUCUCUUCAACUUAUUUGGGAGAAUGUGUGUGUGUGUAUUUAUAUAUUUAUAAAUGAGAUAGUGAAGAAUAGAUUUGGAAUUUGGUGUAAUGAACUUCAACAAAACUUAACAAGUAAUGAUGCAAAAAAAUAGAUAUGGAUGGUUUCAAUUUUCAACGACAUUAUUCUUUUUAUUUUGUCCAUCUCUUUUUUCUUAUUCUAUUGCAAAUAGAACUUCGGAUGGGUUGAAAGAUGGAUAAAUACUGUAAGAAGAAUAUUACAAUCUAAAAUCAUAUAACAGGCUAACAGUUAAUAGCAUCACCAAUUUUAUUUUAUAUAUAUUUUAAAAUCAGAAGCAUCAGUUUGAAAAGUUAAAUAAUUUGUAAGUUAUUUGCACCUUAGAAUAAAUUUUCAUUUUUCUUUCGUUGAAUUUCAGUAGAUGCUUUUUGGAUUAUAUUUUUUUAUGAAUAAUCAAAGUGGGGUGAAGCUUGCUUGUUUUUGGCAUGAAUGAAAUUUACUAAUAUUUUCAUACAUUAUUAUUUUUGGCUCCAAAAUUUUUCAAAUCAACUUGAUCAGGAAGUAGGAUUUUCUUAUAAGAGAAAGAGAGGAAAUAGGUGAAGGGACGAGAAAGAAAUAGUAAAAAGCGGUGGAGAUUGAUUCACUCUGAUUCCGAUUCUAACAGUUUAAGUAAACAACUUAUUCUGAUUCCUAUUUUUAAUUCUCAUUCCAGUCUAAUCCGAUUCCAGCUCAUUCCGAUUGCUGUUUAGUAAACGCACCAUUAAUGUGUUAAAACUGUAUUGUUCUUAUUAAAGUUAAGUGACAAUAACCCUCGGGUUAAGCGCUUUUGAUUUUCUUCUUUCUUUUUAGCUCAUUGUCUUCCCUAUGAUUGCUUAACAAAAGAUAAUAUUGAGUCAUUUUCACUUUCAUCAUCAGAAGCAGAAGUUGUUGCUUCCCAAUGAAUAUUGACUACUAGCGCAGGAACAACAUCUUCAGCUUAAACUCUCAAAUCCCUUGUUCGCAGACCGUGUUGGUGGCCUGGCCAGGAAAGGCUAUGUUGUUGGUCCGAGAAUAGGCUAGUCAUUCAAUUCACCUAAUUUUAAUUUUUAUUUGGAAUUGAGGUGUUAUAAUUUUUAAAAUGUAAACUAUAGCGGCUGUAGGUUUUAAAUUAUAGACGUUAUGGAAAAAAAAAUUAUAAUUAUGAAACAAAAGUUAAUAGUAUGUAGUAAAUAUAAUUUGUAAAUAAUAAUUUUGAUAAAAUUAUUAAAAAUAUAAUACAUUUUUUAUCAUACAAGUAAAAAAUCAUAUCAACAUAUUUUUCAGACUAUAGUAAUUAGUGUUUACCAAACACUUUAUUAUUGUUGUUUUUAAGAUACAGUUGUCUAACUUUAAUUUCAAACGAACCUUUAAUCAUCUAUUUAUCUUUGCCCUAAAGCUUAAAAAACAAGUAAAAUUAUUGUUCUUAAGUCACCAGUUUUGAAGGAGGAAAUUAUUUUAGUUGUGUUGUCGGGGACGGUAAUAAGGUGUGUGAAGCAUGCAUGCUCUCGUUUUCCGGACUAUUCAUACAUUUAACCUAGAAAUCCAAUUUAAUUUAUUCUCAUUCAGCAUUAAUUAGUUGCCAACUACAUAACAGCUUCAUUUAGAGUGAAACUAUUAGCAUCCUUUUAUUAUCCUUAUAAAACCCUACUUUAA
rnacentral:lncRNA from 1 species